rnacentral:lncRNA from 1 species
CCUGUCAAACUGCAGUAUCUGUCUCUAUCUGCGUUAUGAUGCAUUAUUUGGAUACCAUAAGGUGCAUGAUUAUUUUCUGUAUGAUUUGUCAACUGAGAAAAUAAACAACAGUAUUUAAGGCUCUGCGCAUUGAUGAGGGGAUAGGGAGAUGAACAAAGGAAAUAAUUAUUGGUAGUCAUUACACAAGUCCUCUUAACCAUAUGGAGAAUUCUAAGAUUUAGCUCAGAGGAGUGAUUGUGUUCCUUGCCAGAAGAUUUUCCAACACCUUUUCUAAGGUAAGUUUUUUUUUUUUUUCAGCAGUGCUUUCUAAUUUUUGCAAUAGAUUCCCAGAUCAUUUUGAUGGUUUUAAAGACCCAGGAUAAAUCUCUAGGCAUAUAAAAAUAGGGAUUAUUACUUAGGACUGUCCUGUUGCCAUAUCUGUAAGCUAGAAUAUUCUUUAUUACUGAUUUUGUGUACUCCAACUUGACUUAUUCUAAAUGGCUACUUCUAGAGAUAUAGGUCUAUGGUUCCUGCAACAUGGUCUUUCUGGGCGAUUCUCUUUUAACCAUAGCAUGGAGAACUAUACCACAAAUCAGGCCUUUUCAAAACCAUUUGCCACAGGUGCACAGGGGUAAAAGGCUAUAGCCUCAUAGUCUUUUUGACUGGCCAAUCUAUAUCAUUAAUCCCAAAUUCUUUGUUUCUGCUAUAAUUUUAAGCUGGUCAAAGAUGAGUAAAAUAUUAUCCAUAUGUGGGACAUAUUUUUCUUGCCAAACUGUAAAUCUGGUAGUACUUUCUAAAGCUUUUUGUGCCAAGUUUCAUACUAUGAACAGGGAGUUAUCCCAUUCAGCUGUUGAAUACAAGAGUAAAACACCAACAUAGUAGGUAAUGGUUAAAUAUCCAGGAUUUAUUCUUUAUUUAUUGGCUUAGGAUUUGUAAGAAAUCUGUGGUAACUUUAGUGAAACCUUGGGACAUGAUUGUACAGGUGUAUUGCUGAUUGUCCAAUAUAAAUACUAACAUACUGGCUAUCAGGGUGAACAGUGUUUCUAUAGAAGGCUGAGAUUAAAUCAAGUACAAGGAAAUAAAUAUUAUUAGAUGAAGAGACAAAGAGAAAAGUAGUGGAUAUUAAACGGUGAGGGAGUGAGGAAUGACAAUUCAGUUAAUGGCCUGAAGAUACUGAACAAAGCAAUAUCCUAGGCUAUUAUGUGGUGGUGGUGUUUUUUAGCAAGCAAAAUGUAAGACAUGGAUAAUUAACCUUUCUAAAUUAACUUAACAGCCUAAGCCAUGGGUUAGCAAACUUUUUCUAUAAAGGGCGAGAUAGUAAAUAUUUUAGGUUUUGCAGGGCAUAUAGCCAGCCUCUUUUGCAAUGACUCUAUUCUACCAUUGAAGUGUGAAAGCAGCCCUAGACAAUAUAUAAAUAAAUGGGCAUGCCUGUAUUCUAAUAAAACUUUAUUUAACCAGCAUUUGGCUUUAUUUGGACUGCCAAUACCUGCUCUAUAGUGAAAGGCAUCUUGUCUAAUAAUAGGCAGAAUUCUAAAGUUGAUUUAUAAUUAUCUUUGACCUUGUAUAACUCCUCUCUUUUGAAUGUAGACAGAACCUCAUGCAAGUAUAAUAAAUGUGAUGAAAUAUCACUAUUAUGUUAUAUUAUAUGGUAAAAGGGAGAACAUUUGGAUGCUCCUGUCCAAACAUAUCAGUCCUUAAAAGUAGCUAGUAGCUGAUGAGAAAGUCAAAGAGAUUUCAAGCAGGAGAAGGAUAUACCACAAGGUUUUUCAUUGCUGAGGUAGAAAAGGCCUGUGACAAGGAAUGCCAAGUUUUAUAAGUUCUGAGAGCAGCUUUUGCUAACAGCCAGUGAGGAAACAGGGAUCUCUGUCCUCAGGUCACAGAAAACUGAAUUCAGCCUAUAAUCUGAAGCAGUUUAGAAGCAGAUUCUUUCCCAGAAACACCAGAUAAGAGCCCAGGAUGGCCAAUCCCUGAUUCCAGCUUUGUUCACCCUAAAUAGAAGACCCAGGUAUGGACUUUUGACUUACAGAAAUAUACAAUAAAUUAGUGUUAUUUUAUGUUCUUUGUGCCAGUUUUUAAAACACAGAAAUAGAAGACUAACAUAUAUGACCUACUUGUGGAUGUGGUAUUGAAGCUUAUAUAGGAGUCUAGAGGGUCAAUGGUAACUUUGAGUGAUCCUUCACUCAAUUGUACAUCAAAUAUUUAAUAGUUUUGAGUCCAUAGGAUUUCUGGGACUUCCUUAAGUUCUAUCUGGAAUCUGAUGAAACAUCCUGAAAAUAGUUUUAUGAUGACAAUAAGGAGAAAGUAAUUAAGUUUCCCUCAUCUAGAAAAUCUAAAAAAAAUUUAGAGGCCAUUAGAAUUCCAUCUGGUUAUAGGAUUCCAUUGUCACAAUAAAUAUUUCCUGAAUACAUUGAAUGCAAUGCACCGAAUUACUGAAGACACAGCAUGUCAAAGAUCCUAAUGAGAUAGUUGAGGCAGGUAGAUGUUGAGGGGGUUAGCAAUAACUACCAUGAAAACAUAUUUUUGACUCAGCGGAAGAUAGAAUGGGAAAGCAGUGAGGAUUGUAGUUGACAUGGCAGCCUCUACAUUUACAAGAAAAUCUGUUUUCUAAAAUACAAGUUAAGAGUUUAAGUUAGCAUUGAAUAAGGAUGGGUCAGGUCCCUCAGAGGUUAAUUGUAGGGGCAGAGUCCCUACGUAGUAUUUUUAAUUUUGGUUUCCCCAUUUGUGCUGGCUAAAGAUGAACAGUGAUUUUUCUAGUGUAACAUAGUUUUCAAUAUAUAGUGUCUGUAACAACAAGAAUUCUCUCUUUAGCCUUUUAAUUACCAUAAUUACCAGUCUGAACUGUAUGUCUCUUUUAUUUAUAGAAUCUCUUCAAAAAGCUAAGAGCUAUAAUUCCUGAAGGGUAGAGAUUUACCAUUUUUUUUUCUUUAUCUCCUAAGUUAGAUAUUUCUGGUUUAAACUUGGCUACAAAUAGAUUUGACAGAGCAGUUGAUGUGAGAGUUUGGGUCUAAGAUCUGGCUCUUCAAGAGUCGUAAGACAAUUUCUGAAGUGUAAAAGAGACCUAUCUUCUUCUUGUUCAUAUGAUUGAGUGAUUCAUUAAACUUUGACAAGAAACCUUUCAGGGGAUAGCAACCAAAAUCACCUUCCAAAUGAUGUAUAUUUUAGAUGUAUAUUUAUUCUAAAUAUAUUCCAAAGAUGUAUAUAUUAAUUAUUAGAUAGUGUUUUUUUAAGUUUUUCUGAUAGUGGAUACACUUGAUCUUUUCAAUUAAUCAUCCCUGAGAUGAAUAAAAGAUGGACCAAUUGAUUUAUAUCAGGCAGCCAAGGGAUAAGACUCUGGAGAGUCCCUAAUUUUUUAAUAAUCAUCUACUUCUUAUUUUGUGUAAAAUGUUUAAUGAUAUUCCAAAACUUUGAGAACUGUUGUUUGAGAGUAGUUAUCGCCAAACUAUAGCUCAUGGGCCAAAUUAGUUUUGCUGCCUGUUUUUGUAAAUAAAGUUUUAAUGGAAGAUAGCUAUGUCCAUUUGCUUAUAUCUUGGUCAAGGCUGCUUUCACAUUACAGAUAGUGUUGAGUCACUGUAACAAAGACCAUAUGACCCACAAACCUAAAGUAUUUACUCUGGCACAUUACAGAAAAAAAGUACAGGCUGUGGAGUCAGCCUUUCUGGAUUUAAAUUCUGGCUGUGCUACUGAUCAUCUGUGUAAUUGUGUAUAACUCAACCUUUUUGUGCCUCUGUUUGAUUUGCCCAAUUGUAAAAUGUAGUAAUGCUCAUACAGUGUUCUGUACUAUGAAUAGAAUACAAUAAAUGCUCUAAUCUUAAUGUUUUAAUAGCUUAUUCCAAGUAAAUACGCUGUUGUUGAGAAAGAUUUAUUAUUAUUAUUAUUAUUAUUAUUAUUAUUAUUAAGCAUUGUCAAAUAUAACUGCAUUAAUCAUCACUGUUUGCCAUUUACUCUCUGCCAGACAGUGUGUAAAAUACUUUAGGCAUAUACCACUUAUUUCUUAAAACAGGUAUUAACUGCUAUAGUAGAACAAUGAAAAGUUGAAGGCUAGCAUGAACUUUUAUGAUUAUAUACAAAAUUUCAUAAGUCUUAACUGCUAACACAUUCAGACUCCAGACACUUGCAGUUGUAUUUUUUCAAGAUACUAUAGAAAAGAGGACUAGUGAUGUUAUUGUGGUUAAUAUGCCUAUACACACUUUACUUUGUAAACACAAUAGUGAAUUAUCUAUAAGUCUGUGACAUUUACUUAAAGCAAAAGCAGUGGUCUCAAUUCAAUUUACAGAGAAAUUAUGAGUGACAUCAAGUGACUAAGUAGAUCUUAGUAGACAGGACUAGGUAGUAUAACAGAGUCUCUGAGGGCAUUGUGAAAAGGCUGAGAGAUAAAGACUUCAGCUCAGGAAGAAUGAGUUAAGCCUAUGAGCUGUGACCCAUUUUAAAAUAUCAUCCUUAUUUUAUUUUUUUUAUUUUUAAAGUUUAUUUAUUUAUUUAGAGAGAAAGCAUGCAUGGGGAGGAAGCAGAGAGAGAGAAUCCCAAGUAGGCUCCUUGCGGUCAGCACAGAGCGUGAUGCGGGGCUCAAACUCACAAAUGGUGAGAUCGUGACAUGAACCAAAGUCAGACAUUUAACCAACUGAGCCACCCAGGUGCCCCCAUCCUUAUUUUAAAGAUGCCAAAACUCUGGUAGCUUACCUAAUUUUUGAAUGUCAUUAUAAGAAGAUUGUCAGAGCCAGUGUUUUAAACGUAGGUUUUCUGAACACUAAUUCAAAAAGAUAUAUGCACCCCUAUAUUUAUUGCAACAUUAUUUACAAUAGCCAAGAUUUGGGAGCAACCUGAAUGUCUUUUAAUAAAUGAAUGGAUAAAAAAGAAUAUAAAUACAGUGGAAUAUUAUGUAGCCUUAAGGAUGAGAUCUUGCCAUUUGCCACAACAUGGAUGGAGCUAGAGAGGGUAUUAUGCUAAGUGAGAUAACUCAGACUGAGAAAUAAAAACACCUGUGAUUUCACUCAUAUGUGGAAUCUAAAAGGUAAAACAGAUGAAUAAACAAACAAAAAGCAUAAUCAGACCUAUAAAUACGGAGAACUGAUGGUUGCCAGAGGGGAAGAGUGUGGAGGAUGGGAAAAAUGGGUGAAGGGAAGUGGGAGAUAUAGGCUUCUGGUUAUGGAAUGAGUAAGUCAUGGGAAUAAAAGCCACAGCAUAAGGCAAUGAUAUUGUAAUAGCAUUGUAUGGGGACAGAUGGUCACUACACUCAUGGUAAAUAUAGUAUAAUAUAUAAACUUGUCAAACCACUAUGUUGUACUCUUGAAGCGAGUGUAACAUUGUGUGUCAACUAUAUUCAAAUAAAAAAAAUAAAAGAAUAAUAAACUUAGGUUUUCUGUUUCUUAAUAAUUUCUCUAUACUGUCCUCCAAGAAUUGCACAAUUGUGAAAUUCUAACUUAAAGUACAUUAUUCAUCUUAUCUAUUUCUCAUGGUGCUUAAAAGGGUAGUCCUGUAUGAAUGGAACAAUUUUACUGUAUUCAGUACACAUUCUAUAAAAAGCAGCAACUAUAUGAUAUCAUUUUGCUCAGUGCUGUGAAGAUAUAGAGACACUAGCAGAAAACUCCUCUAGGAGUUCAGGAUCUAGUAGAAAGUAGACAUUACAUAAAUACAGAGGAUGACAACCAACAAUAAAUGCUUAAGUACAAACAAUAUGUUCUGAUAAUACCUUCAGCAAGGAUAAGGUAAAAGAUCUUCCCCAUUGCUAUUUUAGUUUGCGAUUGUUCAAUAUGGUAUUAAAACUGCAGUUACCUUGGACAUAUUGAUUCCAGAAAUUUUGCUAGUUCAUCCACACAACUAUGAUAUAUCAAAGUUCACUUAAAUUUUUAUAACGAUAUUUUUCCACAUUUGUUAAAUGAAUACUGGUUAUAAGCCAUAGAUAUAUGCUGCAAUUAUAGGAUAUAUAGCUUCCGAAUAGGACAGAAAAUUAUCAAAGAUUAAUAAAUUUUAACUGUGACUUACCCCACCAGAGAUACAUCAGGCCAAAAUGCACAAACAUGGCUGAUUCUCAAAACAGCAACUAUAAAUUAACAAUAAAAAAAGUUCCCAAUUAGAUUAUAGAUGAUGUACUUUGUAAUUCCUUACAUUUUUCCUGAUUUUAUGUUUAACAUGAAGAAAUCAAUCAUGACAUCCCUAUCUAGAGCCAAACCAAAAUGUAAUUCAGUAUGAAAACAUUAAUCUUUGUAGUUAGUACAAAUGCCAUAAAUUCUGUUAUAUCAUAAUUCAUUUUAUGUUAAAAAGAAGAAAAAUCAUCUGUGUGGCAAAGUUAAAUUUUACCCCAAAUGACAACUAGCAGAAAUGCAAAAGAAUACUCAGAAACCAGGUUAUCUUUGGAUUUAAAAUAAUGAAAUUGAUAUGUCCUAGAUAUAAUUUCAUCUGUAUUAGUAAACUAAAAUCAUAUGUAAAUAGAUUAAGAAGUUUAGGAACCCUUAAAUACCCAUCAAGAUAAUCUGGGUUGGAUAAUUGGAAUAUGACAAUUUAAUGACAGAAAAAUCUAAUCAAUUGGCUACUACAGACAAUAGGAAUGUUAUUUAAAAAUAAAAAAAAAGAAAAAAGAUCAAGGAAAACAGAGUGAGAGAGUGACAGAGAUGGAGGGAAAAACCAAGAGAGAAGCAAUUAGUUUCAGGCAUGUUCCUGGGAGGAAAAGUCUUGAUUAAAAACAUAGUUUUCUUGGCUUGGCUAUUUCUUUCUUUUUUUUUCCCCCACAGACCCCUUUGAGAAUUUGACUACUACUUCAGAAAUAUGCACUGUUUCAGAGAGGUUAUAAUCCCUCUAAAUUCCAUUUAUGGGCCGGAUGUUAAGAAGACAGGUUAUAGAGGCUGAAAAUUCCAUAAACCUUGUUAGUUAGUUGACAGUGUUUCCUAUCUUGCACCCACUGUCACACACUCUCAGUGCACCAGCAAAAUCAGGUUUCUAAAUGCCAGACCAUGAAGUGUGGUUAAUUUAUCAAUAUAAAUAUCACUUUGUGGGGUCCUUCUCAACUGGUACUAGGCCUUUCUGAGACUGCUUUUUCUUUUGCUAUGAACCUCAUAUAUGAACACUGAAUCUUUAAAAACAAAAAUAAUAAAUAAAAAUACCAAAUUUAUGAUCUACUGGUCUGCUUAUGUAUGAAUUAUUCUUGACUAUAGAAUGAAUAAGCUAUCUAUUAUUUUCAGUAAGAAUGUUCUAUACUAAAAUUUCAAGAAAUAUUAUUCUGAGCUAUCACCUAUCUUGGUGAAACUUCUGAAAUUAUAUAGGAAUAUUUUUUUUUUCUCAAAAGAGUUUUUUAUUUCCAAAGAAUUUUGACUGAAUUCUUAUUUAAAUCCUGAUGGUCUCAUCAGGAUACUUAGUUAAUCCACAAGGAUUUUCCAUGUUGCUUGACCUUUUCUCCUCAUCAACAAUUACAUUAAAAAAUACAUUUUUGGGGGAGCCUGGGUGGUUCUGUUGGUUAAACAAUGGACUCUUGAUUUUCAGCUCAGGUCAUGAUCUCAUGGUUUUGAGAGGGAGACCAGCAUCAGGUUCUGUACUGAGCUCAGAGCCUGCUUGGGAUUCUCUCCCUCUCUCUGUGCCUCCUCACUCAUGAUCUCUCUCUCUCUCUCAAAAUAAAUAAACGUAUAUAGAUAGAUAUAUAUAGAUAUAGAUAUAGAUUUUUUUUUCAAUUUAAAAUUAUGGAUAGAAAGAUAUAUUAUAGGAAUGAUCUCUCUCAUUGGUUAGAACAUAAUAUAGGAUAUGUGAAAUAAACAUAGAAUCAAUAUCACUAUUUCAAAUGUUAGUAUGUAAACACACUCUUACUAUGAUCCAUGUAGGUAUACACAUACUACAGCCAAUAGUUAGUGUUUGUGAAAGCAAAGAAGAGUAACUCUACUUGGAAUUACCCUUAUGGAAAAACAACCAGGGUGAAAUGUGCACAGAUUCAGUUAGUCCAUUCUAAUAAGUCGUGCUAGCCAUCUUUCAUAAUUCUACUGGGCCUUAUUCAACAGUCAUACAAUUUUUUUCAUUCCAAACUGCUACCCAGGUAGUUAAAAAACAAACAAACAAAAAAACCAAGAAUAUCAGAUUAUUAGCUAUGCCAAUGAGAAAUGGUAGCGCCCUCAAUGAUUCUCAGAAGGUUUUUUCUGGUUUCAACAACACAUAACACUGAAUUUGUGCAGAUAAUGAGAGAAAGCCCUAAUAGAAUCAAAGAACUACCUAGAUAAAGAUAAAGCCAGUGUGGUACUUGGAGAGGACUAAAGUCCAGUCAAGAAUAAAGGAGAGGUGGCAUGGUCAGGACUUCCAUGUGAUGGCAGGAUAAAGGUCAUCAUCUUUGCCCAUUUGCAAUUAUCAUAUUAGUGCAUAUAAUUUAAGAUUUCUUGGGGCGCCAGGUGGCUCAGUUGGUUAAACAUCUGACUUUGGCUCAGGUCAUGAUCUUGUGGUCCAAGUUUGAGUCUUGCAUUGGGCUCUGUGCUGACAGCUCAGAGCUCUGGAGCCUCAGAGCCUGUUUCAGAUUGUGUGUCCCCCUCUCUCUCUGCACCUACACCACUCGUGCUCUGUCUCUCCCUCUCUCCCUCUCAAACAAUAAAUAAACAUUAAAAAAAAUUCUCAGGAAUUCUCUAUGUCCUUUGCAGUUGACAUGUUUAAUUUCUGGCACAAAUACUACAUUUCUAUCUAAAUGAAGCUUCUUAGAAUAACUAAGCCAGAGUUUCUGCAUAUAGAAUAGAGGACAUUUCUGUUUUAGUGGAGUCUGCACAUCUCCCAAGUAGUAUUUGCAUAUUAACAAAGAGAGAUAAUUUUAAGAAAUCUGUAUCACUUACCUGACCACAUAUCUCUCUCUAAACACAAAACCCAAUGUCUAGGGACACCACCUUGCUACUCCUCCUCAGGCAUUUCACAUUUAAUUUAUUUUCUCUUAAUUCACCUCCUAAUUUGGGAUUCUUUGUGGUCAUUAAUAGUCAAUGCUAUUUACUCUGAAAUCCUCAGAAAAAACCUGAAAGUUCUCUAUGCUCCCAUGUGCUCAUCAGUUUCAGGUAUUUAUCAAAUCUAUUAUAUUUCAACUUCUAAAUACACUUAAAUUAAUCUCAAUCACUCCCAAAUUUAUUGCCAUGGCCUUAGAGUAUGUGUCCAUCGUAUCUCACCUGAAUUACUAUACAGCCUUUCGUAAGAUCUACUUACCUCACUUCCACAUUGAGAACUUUGAUAAGAACAUUGAUGCCUCAUGGGAUCAAACCGUUAGUAUCAUGUUCGAAACUCACAGAUUAACAAUGAAAGCUAAUCUCAAUUUCAUACUUGUUUUUUCCAUUUUAUACUAUUUCUUCCCAAAGCCCUGUGCAUUUACAUAUCUAUGCUGCUCUUUUCUUUUUUUUUUUUAACUUUUUACUUUCUUGUUUUACUUUUUAACUAACUUUACACAUCUAUCAGGAUUUCUCAAUUAUGGGUUCCAUGAUAUCAAGUACCAAAUUUGUCUCCCUGGUAGUUUCCAUGUCAGAGCCUACCAGAACUUGUUUUGAAUAAAUAGGUGAAUAAGUGAACUUUAGCAUGAUCUCUUCCGAAAGCCUUCUCUAUUGGAUUUAAAUACCUCUUCCUUGUGUUGGCAUCUGAACACAUCUUUGCCAUAACCUAUGACAUUGUACGUUCAUGUUUCUUUAUUUCACUGACCAAAAUUUGAGACUGGUAAAUAAGGUGUUCUCAUUAGCAUUUCUAAAAACAAAGGGUGAAGGAGGAAGAGGACCAGGAUUUAUGGUUAUAGUGGCACUUAGUACAGAAGCCAUAGAAACAAUUCCUUCUUUUGCACUUCAGAACCAAGACUAUUUUAAAUAUUUAAAUCCUACAGAUGUAACCGGUCAGCCUACAUUUGCAACCCUGCUGAGAGUAAACUCUUCAUAGGAAAAGUGCUUCAGCUGAAAUACAGAAAGUCUUCAGAUGCUGUGCAGAAAUGAGUCCUAGUGAGUUUAGGCAGUUAAAACUUUUAUACAAAGACUCACCUAAGAUUGUGGUUUAAUUGAUCAGAAGGGCCUGGCAUUGGUGUUUUCUAAGACUCUCUCUCCCACCACGUGAUUUUAGUAUGUACUAGGGGUUGAUAACUGCUGAGUCGGAAGGACAGACUGAUUAUGGAAAAUUGCAACAAAAAUAUUAUAUCCGAGAUAUUAAUUUUCUCUUCCUGAAUUUUCUGAUUCUGAAUAAUCUUAACUAGUAAAGAGAUAAAUAGAAUUUUCAUCUAUGGCUGAUGGAUUAGUCUAAUGAUUGUUAACAGCUAGCAUUUACUCACUGCCUUGAGCCAACCUGUAAGUAUUUUCUCACCUAUCCUCAAAAUAAUGUGAUUACAUAUUCUAAUCCUUAUUUGGCAGGUGAGAAAAAUGAGUUUGAGUAAAGUUAAGCAACUUCUCCAUGCAAUACAUAAGCAAGUUAGGAGCAUAACCGUAUCCAUACCCAUACCACCAUAAGCAUCACUACAGAGCUCAUGGUGGUAAUUACUCUUUCUUUUUCUAGAAACACAAUGUGAAUUCUUCCUUUAAUCCAGGGAGUGAAAGAGAACAAUGUUAUUUUCUCUUCUGUUUAAAGGCCAGGUAUGUAAAAGGAAGGCUAUAGCUUUCUCCACCAUAAAAUUCAGUAGUAUCCAGACAGUGGUGAAUGAUACAACGUUUUUUUCUAUCAGUUUUGCAUUAGCUUAUCCAUAUGUGAGGUUUCCCAGACUUCCUACUUCCUGUAUGAGUUCCCACCUUCUGCAGAGGUGACCUCAAGACAAAUACAAAGACUAAUGAUCUGUUUAUUUUCUUCAGCUCUCUUCUUCUGCUAAUGUAAUAGAAGAUAAUUUGCAGACCGUCCUUGGCAUCCUUAAUGUCUGUAUGUUUUCUAAAUUAUCCAUAGGCCUCAAAUGAGGGUACUGAUAUGGGAGGUUUUUGAUUUGAAGAUGUUUCCCGUUUGUCUAUCUGAAUAUCAUGUACCUAGUAUCCUAUAUACAGUACACUCAACACCAAAAAAACAUAGUUUCUUUUUUCAAAACUACUGCAUGCAGGAAGAGUGGUAAUACUUUCUGAUUUUAUGAUGGGUCAUAUGAACUGUUUAGUUGAGAUCUUGGUUCCAUUUGGAAAAUUCUUCUACCUUGUUGAUUAAAUAUAUUCAAAUGAAACACAACUGAGAGCUCUCUAAUUUUUGCAUAACCCUUGAAAAUGCCAGAAGGACAAACUUUGAAAGGCCAUUAUCUCAUUGUAGCCUUGGAAAUCAUAAGCUAUAUUUAUCAAUCAGUCAAAUAAAUGUUGCAAGGUUCAUCUUAAUCACAAAAAUAUAAAGCAAAUAGUCAAAAAGCCAGAAAGCUAUUAGAAUAGCUAGAUUAAAAGACAAGCACUGACCUAUAAAGGGCUUGAAAACAUCACCAGUAAUAUCAAAUUGCCAAGAAAAAGAGGUGUAAAAAUAAAGUGUAUAGCAGGAAGGAAGACUUUAGUAAGAAUCUUAAAUAGGAGCUGAAGCUAGUAAGUGAUCUAGCAAAACAAUUUGAGUUAGUGAAACUCUUGCAGAGACUGCUUUUAGGCAAUAAGCGUGAACAAUAGAACUUAAAAAGGGCCCACAGCAACCACCAGGCUGAAUAUAGACAUGCCCAUCAGGCAACCCACCUCAAAAUAUCCAUAGGCCCUAACUGACCAGUGGGCUACUUACAACUAGGCACAGUUAGCAAAAAAAAAAAAAAAAAAAAAAAAGGGAUGGUUCUAUACAGUGUCAUACCUUCUCAUCUUCCCCCUUUAAAAAGAGGCCCCACCCACUAACCAGUUUCAGACAGCCUCUCCUCUGCUGUCCUUCCCUUCGCUCCCUUGCAGUGUAUUCAAUAAACUUCUAUUUCCUUUGUUCUGCCUCAGGUGAAUGCUUGUCCUCCCAAUGCCACCAGAUUCCACCCCCUCAGUCACCCCACAUUUGGGGACCUCAUCAGGAGAGACACCCCAUUUAGGCACCACAACUCUCUUUUAAGAAAAAUGUUUUUCUAAAAUGAUAGGGCUUUAGUUUUCCUUCAUUAUGGAGAGGAAGCAGAAUUUUAUCACCCAAAGCAUCUUUAUCUUUAGGACAAGAGUAGGUCUCUUCCUAUCUCUCCUGGCAAGCAUGGAGUGCCAAGGAUAUGACAAAUUCCUAACUUCUGUUGGCAGAGGGAGGAAGGAAGUUAUUUACACUGUCAAGUUUCCCUCAAAUCAAAAUUACCUCACCCAGUAAGCAUAAGACCACAUAACCCAUUUUCUCAUACUAUGUCCAAUCUGUUGAUUAUUCAUAUGCUAGUAAGAACUACUUGUACUCAAAAUUAUUAUCUUCAUAGGGGCGACUGGGUGGCUCAUUCGGUUAAGCAUCUGACUUUGGCUCAGGUCAUGAUCUCAUAGCUCAUGAGUUCGAGCCCUGCGUCAGGCUCUGUGUUGACAGCUCAGAGCCUGGAGCCUGCUUUGGAUUCUGUGUCUCCCUCUCUCUCUGCCCCUCCCCUGCUCGCACUCUGUCUCUCUCUCUCUCUUAAAAAUUAAUAAACAUUAAAAAAUAUUUUAAAAAUAUUAUCUUCAUCUAAUUCCUAAGGUAAUGUUAAAAAACGGGAAGAGAGAAAAAUGUAAAUUUGAGUUGCUGCCACCCUAGAUCAAACCACACCAUUCACUGCAAUAAUCUUCUGAAGAUGUCCCUGUUUUUAUUCCUUGUGAUCAAUGCAUCUCCAUGUAGUGUAGUGGCUAGUGUGAUCAGAAACUAAAUCCUGCCAUCUCUCUCUUAAUAAAUUCUAUAGCUUCCCAUCAUCCUUGAAUUCAAUAAAAAUAUUUACUACUGAAUAUAAUGCCCUGUAUGACUUGUUCAAACUACUCCAGCUAGCUUCUAGCUUCAAAAUUGCUCAAGCAGUAAACAGACAUCAGUCUGUGUUUAGGUAUAUCUACAUUGCAUAUACCUGUGUGCUUCCAGCAUAUGUGAAAUUCUUCAAAGGACUUUCACCGAAUUCCACUGAGUUUCUAGACCUUAGCAAGUAUCUACCAAGAGAAUAUGUUAUCAAUCUCUCUUUCAGACAAGCAACCUUGAUCUCUACAAGCUGUUCUAUUUGCUUGAGAGAGAAGCACAACAGUCAAAGAACAUCCUCUCUAGACUUUUGAGCCACUCUUCCAGGACUUCCCAUUUGUACUUUCAGCUUAUAGAAACUAAAAUAAUGGUGGGAAAGCUCAAAACAACAUUGUGGUCAUCUCCUAGUAAGGGAGCAUCAGGCAACUCUGUUUAGAGAGUACUCACUGCCUUCUGUUUUAUAGUUUGGGUCAUCAGCCAAUAGAAAACUCCUAUUCAACAUCCUUCAUUAGUAGCAAUAUAACUGUAGAGACACUCACUUAUUUUAAUGUUGAGAUGCAGCACAAUGUUGGCCAAAAAAAGUAGUCUAUUAAAGUGAUACAUGAAUCACUGCAACUUCAUAGACGUUAAGUGAUUUUCCUUAAAUCACAAUUCAUUUGUGCCACAGAAGGUAAGACUUGAUUUCCAAUUCUGGCUCUUCCAUUUAGCAAGUAUGUGGCUUUAGGCAAAUUCUUUAUCAUUGCUAAGACCGUUUUUCUCAAAUGUGAAUUUGAGAUCUGACAGAAUUUCAAAGGGGUUUUGUGAAAAUGAAACACUACCAGCCUUAAUGGCCCUCGCAUGUUAAUAAAUACUUACAGGUUUUGAAUGUCUAUUCAAACAAGAGGCAGAACUCAAGAUUUUAUAUGUUAGUAAACGAGCUUAGAGAUUUGCAUAAUGGUAAGCCACUUGAACCUUUACUUUUACAUUUACACAAAUAGCACGCUGUGGAGUAGAAGAGAUCAUUUUCAAAACCACGCAGGAAGACCGUAUUGACAUUUUACUUCUGAACUCUGUUUGGGGCUACAUUUCUACCCUGAGAGGUAAGAAUUAAUUCUGUUUAAAAUAAGCACUCUUGAUGAAAAAAAGCUUAAAAGCAAUACUUUCCAGCAACCACUAAGUUGAUCCUAUAAACAAGCUUGUGAGGAAAGUUCUUAUACUUAUUUCCACUUUACAGGUUACAUAAAUUUUAAGCUCACAGUGACUCCUUUCACAGACUUGCAGCUACUAGAUGGAAGACACAGGACAGAAGCUUCUCAUUCUAAAUCCUUUUCAUUUUGGAAUAUUUUUUGUGAAAAUUGGACACCAGUGUAAGCUUUCUCUUCAUUAUUAUCUAUUCCAACAAUGAAAUAUUGUCAAGCUAUCUAAAAACAAAACAAAACAAAACAUACUUGGGGGUUUUGUUAUAGUAAUAUGCUCACUGAUCAAAUCCAAAAUCAAUGAAACUGUUGGCUGUAACACAGGCCUCAUUUUUUCUCACCAGCAGCACAGGGCCGCCAUCUACCAGUAAUAAAGGAAGUUGCAGUUGUCCUAAUUGUAACGACAUGAAAGAAAAGAGAAAUGCUUUUCAUGACUUUGCUUUUAGAUUACAUUUCUAAAUUCUUAGAAAUGUGUGGGAAUGUUGAAACCAUCAACAAACACCCACUGUUUACAAUCCCAAAACAAUCAGGUCCAGAGGACAUUUCUACCUAAACCAGUCCCUCAAAAUUUGGUAGCAUAGCCUGUUUUCUGCAUAAAGAAGAUUAUCUUGGAAAGUUUGUAAAUGAGGGGAAAAACUAAAAAGAGAAGAUUUCUGAAAGAAGGAUUCAAAUAUAUUGAGUACAUUAAGCAGACACUGGUCUAGGUGAACUAGAUGGAGAACCAGUGCACCCUAAGUAAAAUAUCCUCUGAUACAGCCUAAGUAGAUGUUCAAAUAAAUCUAUGUACUCCUAAUAUUGAUAGAUAAUACCUACAUUGUGUUUAUUUUGUUAUCAGUGCCAUGCCCAAUUUUAAAUGUUUUACGUAUAUUAAUUCAUUUAAUCUUAGUGAAAAUACUAUGGAAGUAGUUAAAAUUCUUAGUAUUUUACUGAUGGUUACCUUUAUGUGUCAGUUUGGUUGGGCCACUGAUAAUUACUUAGAUAUCAUUUCUGAGUGUGUUUGUGAAGGUGUUUCUGGAAAAGAUUAGCAUUUGAAUUGGUGAACCGAAUAAAGCACCUGGUCCUCAAGGUAGGUGAACAUCAUCCGAGACAUUGAAGUCCUGAAUAGACCAAAAAGGUGCCAGAAGGUUGAAUUUGCUCUCUGCCUGACUGUUGAGCUGCCACAUUGGUCAUCUCCUUCCCUUGAUGCUCCUAGUUCUUAGGUCUUCCGACUCAGACUAUCUACAUCAGUGGUAAUAUCUACAUCAGUGGUUCUCCAGCUCUCAAGCCUUCAAAGUACACCACUGGCUUUCCUGGGUCUGCAGCUUACAGACAGCAGUUCAUGGGACUUCUCAGCCUCCAUAACCAUGUGAGCCAAUUCUUUAUAAUAAAUUGUAUAUAGAUUUAGACAGAUUAUAGGUAGAAAAUAAAAACAGAGACA